UACAGAGGUCCCAAGCGUUGUUCGGAUUCACUGGGCGUAAAGGGUGCGUAGGCGGUUGGGUAAGUCUGAUGUGAAAUCUCACAGCUUAACUGUGAAACUGCAUUGGAUACUAUCCGGCUCGAGGAAUGGAGGGGAGACUGGAAUACUUGGUGUAGCAGUGAAAUGCGUAGAUAUCAAGUGGAACACCAGUGGCGAAGGCGAGUCUCUGGACAUUUCCUGACGCUGAGGCACGAAAGCCAGGGGAGCAAACGGG
rnacentral:rRNA from 1 species